GUCGUUGUAGUAUAGUGGUGAGUAUCCCCGCUUGUCACGCGGGGGACCCGGGUUCGAUCCUCUGCAACGGCG
rfam:Ipomoea nil DNA, scaffold: scaffold2701, cultivar: Tokyo-kokei standard.